rnacentral:piRNA from 1 species
UGAAUAACUGGCCUCUACCUCCCUUGAGCU